GGGGGCGGUCCCGGCGCCUCCACCAAAGUAUAAUCAACAAAGAUUAUAUUUUUAUGGGGGCGAAACAGGAUCGACAAGGGUGUAAAGAUUGCUCUUUUACUCGGCAUUGUACCACCGUUAUCGGGCUAGAUGAAUAGUUGCAAAUGACAACUAUGCGGAGGCACGUCUCAUCGCUGCUUAAGCGAUGCGAAGGCUUCAAAUUAAGUCUUAAACCGUCGCAGGUUUAAGCGGGGUUCGAAGGCACCUGGCCAACAGAAGCCAA
rnacentral:tmRNA from 1 species